GUAAAUAUCUUCACUUUGUGCCAAGUUAUGGCUAAUGACUCAAAGAAAAACUUUACCUCACCUACACUGUGAAGCUGGAAAAAUACAAGAUCUUCCACAACAUUAAGAACUCUCCUCAAGAGACUGGAACCAACAAGCUGCCUCUAACAGAUGAAGAAAGAAAUUACAUUCCUACAGAUGAAGUACAAAUUAUCCAUCAUAAAUGAUAUGAAUAUACCGAAUUUGCUGGAAGAACAAAGAAAAAUGAAAGAGAGAGAAAAAGACAAUCCAAAUAUCUA